GACGAACGCUGGCGGCGUGCUUAACACAUGCAAGUCGAACGGAAAGGCCCCCUUGUGGGGUACUCGAGUGGCGAACGGGUGAGUAACACGUUAGUAACCUACCCUUUACUUUGGGAUAACUUCAGGAAACUGGGGCUACUACCGGAUAGGAGCUCCUGCUGCAUGGUGGGGGUUGGAAAGUUUCGGCGGUUGGGGAUGGACUCGCGGCUUAUCAGCUUGUUGGUGGGGUAGUGGCUCACCAAGGCUUUGACGGGUAGCCGGCCUGAGAGGGUGACCGGCCACAUGGGAAGGGAAAGAGGGCCGAGACACCCACGGGAGGGAAGAGGGGGAAAUAAUGAAAAAAGGGGGGAAGCAAGAUGGAGCAACGCCGGGGGCGGGAGGGAGGAAUUGGGGUUGUAAACCGAUUUCGCGUGGGAGGAAGGGGGAGGGACGGAAAGGGGUAAAAAAACACGGCUAAAUUAGUG
rnacentral:rRNA from 1 species